UAUAAUUAGCAGUUCUAGCUCCGAUUAUUAAAACUAAGUUACUUUAAUUAAUUCCAUUAAUUCCACACACAUUAAUAAAAAUUUAUAUUCUUCUUGGUGUUUUAAUUUGAAACGAAUUAAUUGUAAGAUAUAAGUAAUCCCCAUUAUCUUGUAAACACCUAUUUACAUACAAAUAAAUAGUUAGAAUGUCUAUUCUGGAUAUUUCACAACGAAACUAAGAAUGGGUUUAAAAAUAAAAGACCGCGUACCCAGAAUCACUUUUCGAAACUAAUGCUUAUAUUGUUCAGUUUUGCUAAGGAAGGAUGGGAUAGUUUAACUGACCCUCUAUCAUAUAUCACUGUCACUGUACCAAUUCACUCCUCCCUCAAAGCGACGCCCCCAAAGGGUGACUAUUACAACUCUGAUUUUGCCAAUUCCGGUUUUUUAUCUGGGUAUCGCGUCCUCUUAAAUGUGCUACUAAAUUAGUGCAAGCAUUAUUUUAAGUUAUGAAAUAAAUUUAAAAAAAUCUUUUCUCUGAAUAAACUGCCUUUUCCCCCCUUCGGAUUUCUGACCAACAAAAUAUAAGGAACAACAUUUUCCUGGCAUUCAAGAAUAAUUUAUAAGAAUUCUACAGCUUUUUCUACCUCUGCUUUCACUUUUGGUUCAUCAAUAUGAUCUUCAGCUUCUUCCUCUUCAUCUAAUAUUCCUUUGACAUUAUCUAUGAUUUUCGCAUCUGCCAGUGUUCCGCAUGUUGCCAGGCAGUUGUCCACUUGUAAAAAAUCUUCAAAAAUAAUGUUAUUAUUAUAUCCAGAUUUUAUUGCAUUCCCUUUUGGCAAGUCUGGCACUGCAUUUUAAGUGUCAAAGGUUUCUUCUUUAUUGGUGCAUUCAACCUCUUGUUCAUCAUAUUCACAGCUAUUCUUAAAAUCUACUUUUUAAAACCAUUUUGGAUAGUUUUUAGAGACAAAUUUCUCCAGCCAAAACAGUAAUUCUGAUAGCAUCUAUUAUGCAUUUGGAAGCUUUUUUUAUCUAUGGCAUCUACAAGUCAACUCCUCACUUGCCAGAAUCAUUGUAUUCCUUUCUAGUUAAGAAAGUGCGGGGAUGAUGAUUGAAAUUACAAGAAACACCCCCCAACCUAUUCGUCCCUACUUCCUGUGGGAACCUACUUCCCGAAAUUCGUCCCCUACGUCCUACUUCCCGAAAUUCAUAUGUCUACUAGUUCUACUGAUAAAGUUGUGACAUAUUCGAAAUUAGCCUUAUUUGAAAUCGUUAAAUUAAUUUUAUGAUUUUCAUUAAAACUAUUUUUUAAAAUUAAAUUGUAAUAAUGGUAGGUAGCCAAACAAUAUUUUGGGGGGAUUUGCUCCUUCCUAUUGUUAACAUUUAAUUUGUAAGAAUUUGUAAUCUUUGAACUUAUAGAUUAAAAUAAUUCUAAUCUUGCUAUAUGGUUGGAAAAAUUUGGUUCGUUUUUAAUACACACUACCUCAAGAUAUAAAAGUAUAAUGAAAUUGUUAUUUUUUUAAUCUUCAUGUAUAUUUAGGGAUAAGAUGGGUUCCGAUUUCCAGUUUAAAAAACUCUUCCUUUGUAUUUCAAGGUGGUUUUUUGUUUAAACUGUAAGAUUGAGUGGGGACUUGAUUUUUAUGUACGUUGCAUUUCCUCAGGCUCACAAAUUCAUCCAAGUGUUUUUUUAGAAUUUAUUCUAACUUUUUCUUUAUUUUCAUAUUGUAUUACAGCUCUAAUUAUUUUUUGCAGCUAAACUUGUACCCCUUGCUUAUGGUAUCAAGAAAUUGCAAAUUGUCUGUGUUGUAGAGGAUGAUAAGGUCAGCAUAGAUUGGCUUCAAGAGGAAAUUCAAAACUUUGAAGAUUUUGUUCAAUCUGUUGAUGUUGCAGCUUUCCAAAAGAUUUAGGAUAACAAUAAAUUUUUCUAGUGCAUUA
rnacentral:lncRNA from 1 species